AUGUCCAACCAGGGGCUUUUUCCCUCCUUCACAGGAGCCGGCGGGGCUUCGCCUCCACGUCUCCAUGACUGGCGGUCAGAGCAGUGGCCGGAAAACGGGAUAACACCUUUCAUUUCCUGUAUCCUUCCCACUCCGCGGGGCCCAUGUUCACCUCGGGAUGAGGACUUCGUUAGUGGGCCCGAGCUGUGUUGCUUUGGAGACCGACUCCCUGCCAACGCCGGCCCGAUCCGUCUGCCUCAGUGCCGUCUGACUGAGGCUGAUGUAGGUCAGUGCGUCUGGAGCCUGUCUGGAGUUGCAGAGAGCCUCAGAGCUCCUGAUCCUCGUCGACCCCUCCAGCUGCCGCCGCCGCCGCCGCCCGAGCUGAGGACGGCGCUCCCUGGGCUACAUCCGACUCUUCCGCGGCUGCAGCCGUCGACCCUCCUGCAGCAAAACGCGGCCGCUCAGCAAACUCCAAACUGAUGCCACGUCCCCUAAAAAAAAACAAAUCACCCAAAUCUUCCGUUGCAGUAAAUCCGAUUCCCGCGCCACUGCCAAAGGAUCCGCAAAUGCUACCGAAAGCGUCCGUCCUCUGACUCCGCCGCGACGCCCCCUCUGACGCGAACCGCCGCGUGCGAGGACGACGACGACUUUUGACGACUCGUGUGUGUCUCCCGAUUCCGCUUUCCCUCCCUUUCCUCCCCCCCGCUCAUCCUUCUCUCCUGCUCCCGCUCUCGCCUCCUUCUCACUCCUCUCGCUUUUAGACAAUGCCCCCCGAAAAGCGAUCGUUGUAUCAGAGAGUCGGAGCGUAGUAGAGUGCAGCUGUGAGAGCGCCUGAGUGUGUGUGUGUGUG
ensembl:lncRNA